rnacentral:pre_miRNA from 1 species
GAUAUACUCCUCCGUCCGGAAAUACUUGUCAUUGAAAUGGAUGUAUCUAGAUGUAUUUUAGUUGUAGAUACAUCCAUUUUCAUCCGUUUUGAUGACAAGUAUUUUCAAACGGAGGGAGUACUAA